AUUUCUUUUUCUUGAAUCUGAACGAACAAUAAAAACUGCUCUUUGACACCUUGAGCAUAAAGAAAAGAAAAUUUUUUCUUUUCUUUGACAAUUUUCACACUUUCCUUCAGCGUUCACACUACCAUCUCUUCAUAUAUAUCUUUCCUUCACUUUCUACCUCUAUCUUUUUUCCUUUUUCUCUCUUCGAAUUUUGAUCAAAUCAAUCCUUUUUGUGGGUGUAAACUGAUUUAGAUUAGUUUGAGCGUGUGAUUGUUAUGGAGGGACAUCUUCACCACCAACAUCACAAUCAGCAUCACCUACAGCAAUAUCAGCUGCUGCAGCAGCAACAUCACAUCAGUGUAAACGUAGAGGCAAGUGAUAAGUUUCCUCAAUGGAGUAUUCAAGAAACAAAGGAGUUCUUGAUGAUCCGAGCAGAACUGGAUCCAACUUUCAUGGAGAAGAAAAGAAACAAAGUUUUGUGGGAAGUUAUCUCUAAUAAAAUGAAAGAAAAGGGUUAUAAUCGUAGCGCAGAGCAGUGCAAGUGCAAGUGGAAGAAUCUUUUUACAAGAUACAAGGGUUGUGAGACGAUAGAACCUGAAGCUAUGAGGCAACAGUUUCCUUUCUACAAUGAGUUGCAAGCGAUUUUCACAUCAAGGAUGCAAAGAAUGUUACGGGCUGAAGCUGAAGGAGCAGCGACUGGGUUGAAAAAGAAAGCAGUGAAGCUAUCUUCUGACGAUGAGGAUAAGAAUGAAGAAAUUAUUGAGGGCGAAAAGGGUGGCAGUAGAAAGAAGAUAAAAAAGGGCAAGGCAAUUGGUGGAACUAGUAGCAGUGGAAAUAGUAUUAGUUUGAAAGAGUCUUUGGAAGAUUUCACGAAGCAACAGAUUCAAAUGGAAAUGCAAUGGAGAGAAGUAUUUGAGGCAAGGGAAAAUGAGAGGAUGAUGAAGGAGAUGGAAUGGAGACAAACCAUGAAACAAUUAGAGAAUGAUAGGAUAGUGAUGGAAAGAAGAUGGAGAGAGAGAGAAGAGCAAAGAAGGGUGAGAGAAGAGGCUAGGGCUGAGAAGAGGGAUGCCCUUAUCACUGCACUCCUAAACAAGCUUAGAAGAGAAGACAUGUAGUGAUCAGCUUUCUUUCAAUGUUUUUGCUGUUUUAGAGAAGAGUUUUUGUCAUGUGGACGAGCUGGUAGGAUUGGUAAGCCACAAGAUCUGUUCAUGGCUUGUAGAGAAGAUUGUUGGCAGGGAAACGGACACGUUAGGCUUCAUUUGUUUUUCUCCUCCAUCAACAACGUUCAAUCAGGGCCAUGAAGAACAUCCUUUGAAUAAGGAAAUUGAUCAUAUCAUAAAGUUUUGUACAUCAUCACCAUCUCAUAAUUUUGACAAGUUGUGUACUUCAUUACAAGUGCUGUGUUAUUACCAGCUCAUUUGCGCGUGAUUCCAUCUAUGUUUUGAACAUUUGAUCAGAGGCAGACAAGAUGUUUUCAAAUUUGUAGCUGAGACAGCUAGCUAUGCACAAACAUGACCGUGUUCUUGUUCUUGUUUUUUCUUUUGCUUUUGCUGCUGUUAUCAAACAAAAGGAUAUUUUGUAAACCGUGUUUCAGAAUUCAGACAGAAGGUUCUUCUUAUUUUCCCACCGACUUGUCGUGUUUUACUGUUUAUGCCAAUUAUACGUGUAGUCUUGGAACUUGAAAGCACUUGAGAUUACGGCCUCCUUGAGCAUUCGUUCACACUUCAUAUAUAUUAUGGCCAUAAUUUGGAGCCCUCCGUUUGAGAUUCCUCCACUAAGUAAAUUCCUUCAUUUUCUAACAAAUGAAUUUGUAUCAUGAAAAAGAAUAAUAAUUAAAAAACCGUGAAAAAUGAUUGAAAUUUAUCAAAUUCUAAUAAUAAGAUUCAUCCAAAAAAUAAAAUAAAAA